rnacentral:rRNA from 1 species
GAUGAACGCUGGCGGCGUGCUUAACACAUGCAAGUCGAACGGAAAGGCUCCUGCUUGCAGGGGUACUCGAGUGGCGAACGGGUGAGUAACACGUGGGUGAUCUGCCCUGCACUUCGGGAUAAGCCUGGGAAACUGGGUCUAAUACCGGAUAGGACGAUGGUUUGGAUGCCAUUGUGGAAAGUUUUUCGGUGUGGGAUGAGCUCGCGGCCUAUCAGCUUGUUGGUGGGGUAAUGGCCUACCAAGGCGUCGACGGGUAGCCGGCCUGAGAGGGUGUACGGCCACAUUGGGACUGAGAUACGGCCCAGACUCCUACGGGAGGCAGCAGUGGGGAAUAUUGCACAAUGGGCGCAAGCCUGAUGCAGCGACGCCGCGUGGGGGAUGACGGCCUUCGGGUUGUAACUCCUUUCGCUAGGGACGAAGCGUUUUGUGACGGUACCUGGAGAAGAAGCACCGGCUAACUACGUG